CCUACGGGAGGCAGCAGUGAGGAAUAUUGGUCAAUGGGCGCAAGCCUGAACCAGCCAAGUAGCGUGCAGGAUGACGGCCCUACGGGUUGUAAACUGCUUUUGUAAAGGAAUAAAGUGCCUUACGUGUGCGUUUUUGUAUGUACUUUAUGAAUAAGGAUCGGCUAACUCCGUGCCAGCAGCCGCGGUAAUACGGAGGAUCCGAGCGUUAUCCGGAUUUAUUGGGUUUAAAGGGAGCGUAGGUGGGUUGUUAAGUUAGUGGUGAAAGUUCGCGGCUCAACCGUGGAAUUGCAGCUGAUACUGGCGGACUUGAGUACGGAUGAGGUAGGCGGAAUUUGUGGUGUAGCGGUGAAAUGCUUAGAUAUCACGAAGAACUCCGAUUGCGAAGGCAGCUUGCUAAACUGGAACUGACAUUGAUGCUCGAAAGCGUGGGUAUCGAACAGGAUUAGAUACCCGAGUAGUC
rnacentral:rRNA from 1 species